rnacentral:rRNA from 1 species
AUGGUGUUGUUAGCAGAAUGUGGCUUGGAUGAUAUGGGGUUCAUAGGCGACCCCUUUACAUGGAGGAGAGGUGAGAUUAGGGAACGUCUUGACCAUGCAGUAUGUAAUGUACAAUGGGCUCAUAAAUUUCCUCGGGCGGCUGUGAUUAAUGAAAACCAUGUACAUUCUGACCACCGGCCGUUAGUUUUGGAUAUGGAUUAUUUUGACGGUAAUAUGUUUAGGCCGCUGAAUAGUGGUAUUAAAAUUUUUGAAGCCAGAUGGCUUAAAGAAGAAACUGUUAGUGAAAUUGUCAAGACAUCGUGGGAGAAGGCAAAGCUGGCUGGUAUUGGCCCAACGCUCGCAGACAGGACCCGAGAGUACACGCCGAUCUACAUUCCUGGGACCGUGAGAUCUUGA